UACGUAGGGACCGAGCGUUGUCCGGAAUCAUUGGGCGUAAAGAGCGUGUAGGCGGCUUGCUAAGUCUUGCGUGAAAUCUCGGGGCUCAACCCCGAGCGGUCGUGGGAAAGCUGGCAGGCUAGAGUGCGGGAGAGGAGAAUGGAAUUCCUGGUGUAGCGGUGAAAUGCGCAGAUAUCAGGAAGAACACCCGUGGCGAAGGCGGUUCUCUGGAACGCAACUGACGCUGAGACGCGAAAGCGUGGGGAGCAAACAGG
rnacentral:rRNA from 1 species